rnacentral:rRNA from 1 species
UUGACGGGGCCCGCACAAGCGGUGGAGCAUGUGGUUAAUUCGACGCAACGCGAAGAACCUUACCAGGGCUUGACAUCCCCUGACCGCGUAUGAAAGUACGUUUUCACCCUCGGGUGACAGGGAGACAGGUGGUGCAUGGUUGUCGUCAGCUCGUGUCGUGAGAUGUUGGGUUAAGUCCCGCAACGAGCGCAACCCCUAUUGUUAGUUGCCAUCAUUCAGUUGGGCACUCUAGCGAGACUGCCGGUAAUAAACCGGAGGAAGGUGGGGAUGACGUCAAAUCAUCAUGCCCCUUAUGACCUGGGCUACACACGUGCUACAAUGGUUGGUACAACGAGUUGCGAGUCGGUGACGGCGAGCUAAUCUCUUAAAGCCAAUCUCAGUUCGGAUUGUAGGCUGCAACUCGCCUACAUGAAGUCGGAAUCGCUAGUAAUCGCGGAUCAGCACGCCGCGGUGAAUACGUUCCCGGGCCUU